rnacentral:rRNA from 1 species
CAGUAGCCGCGGGAAUACGGAGGGUGCAAGCGUUAAUCGAAAUUACUGGGCGUAAAGCGCACGCAGGCGGUCUGUCAAGUCAGAUGUGAAAUCCCCGGGCUUAACCUGGGAACUGCAUUUGAAACUGGCAGGCUAGAGUCUUGUAGAGGGGGGUAGAAUUCCAGGUGUAGCGGUGAAAUGCGUAGAGAUCUGGAAGAAUACCGGUGGCGAAGGCGGCCCCCUGGACAAAGACUGACGCUCAGGUGCGAAAGCGUGGGGAGCAAACAGGAUUAGAUACCCGCGUAGUCCCUGUCUCUUAUAC